CGGACGGGUGAGUAACGCGUGGAAGACCUGCCGUAUACUGGGGGAUAACACUUAGAAAUAGGUGCUAAUACCGCAUAAGCGCACAGCUUCGCAUGAAGCGGUGUGAAAAACUCUGGUGGUAUACGAUGGUUCCGCGUCUGAUUAGCUAGUUGGUGGGGUAAUGGCCUACCAAGGCAACGAUCAGUAGCCGGCCUGAGAGGGUGAACGGCCACAUUGGGACUGAGACACGGCCCAAACUCCUACGGGAGGCAGCAG
rnacentral:rRNA from 1 species